rnacentral:rRNA from 1 species
AAGAGUGAAACUCAAAGGAAUUGACGGGGACCCGAACAAGUAGCGGAGCAUGUGGGUUAAUUCGAAGCAACGCGAAGAACCUUACCUAAGCUUGACAUCCCAAUGACAUCUCCUUAAUCGGAGAGUUCCUUUCGGGGACAUUGGUGACAGGUGGUGCAUGGUUGUCGUCAGCUCGUGUCGUGAGAUGUUGGGUUAAGUCCCGCAACGAGCGCAACCCUUGUCUUUAGUUGCCAUCAUUAAGUUGGGCACUCUAGAGAGACUGCCAGGGAUAACCUGGAGGAAGGUGGGGAUGACGUCAAAUCAUCAUGCC